UACUAGCACCCCGAGUGGUCGGGACGAUUAUUGGGCCUAAAGCAUCCGUAGCCGGUCCUACAAGUCUUCCGUUAAAUCCACCUGCUUAACAGAUGGGCUGCGGAAGAUACUAUAGGGCUAGGAGGCGGGAGAGGCAAGCGGUACUCAGUGGGUAGGGGUAAAAUCCUCUGAUCCAUUGAAGACCACCAGUGGCGAAGGCGGCUUGCCAGAACGCGCUCGACGGUGAGGGAUGAAAGCUGGGGGAGCAAACCGG
rnacentral:rRNA from 1 species